CGGGUGAGUAACGCGUGGAUAACCUGCCUCACACUGGGGGAUAACAGUUAGAAAUGACUGCUAAUACCGCAUAAGCGCACAGUACCGCAUGGUACAGUGUGAAAAACUCCGGUGGUGUGAGAUGGAUCCGCGUCUGACUAGCCAGUUGGCGGGGUAACGGCCCACCAAAGCGACGAUCAGUAGCCGACCUGAGAGGGUGACCGGCCACAUUGGGACUGAGACACGGCCCAA
rnacentral:rRNA from 1 species